GGCAGUUCUUGGGUGAUGCACCCUGGAAUUGGGCUCCUUCCUCUCUGGUUCCAGGUGUGUCACCCUAGAACCGCA
rfam:Myotis lucifugus cont2.8557, whole genome shotgun sequence.